rnacentral:rRNA from 1 species
UAGGGAAUCUUCCGCAAUGGGCGAAAGCCUGACGGAGCAACACCGCGUGAGUGAUGAAGGUCUUCGGAUCGUAAAACUCUGUUAUUAGGGAAGAACAAAUGUGUAAGUAACUAUGCACGUCUUGACGGUACCUAAUCAGAAAGCCACGGCUAACUACGUGCCAGCAGCCGCGGUAAUACGUAGGUGGCAAGCGUUAUCCGGAAUUAUUGGGCGUAAAGCGCGCGUAGGCGGUUUUUUAAGUCUGAUGUGAAAGCCCACGGCUCAACCGUGGAGGGUCAGUGGAAACUGGAAAACUUGAGUGCAGAAGAGGAAAGUGGAAUUCCAUGUGUAGCGGUGAAAUGCGCAGAGAUAUGGAGGAACACCAGUGGCGAAGGCGACUUUCUGGUCUGUAACUGACGCUGAUGUGCGAAAGCGUGGGGAUCAAACAGG